rnacentral:snRNA from 1 species
GGUUAUGAGGGAAAACAGGCUGUGACAUCUGUCAACACAUUGAUUUCCAGGUGGGAUCCUCUAUGGCCUGAGCUGAUCCCUGUCCUCCCUCAUAGCCCAUUUAUGUCCCUUCCAAAGCUACCUGCUCAUCCAGAGUGAAUGACCUUCUGAAAGAGGACUCAGUCAUGAAGGGUAUUUAAAAGAUAUAUUCCCUUGCUAUCACUUCUAGGCAUGUUCGUAAUUUAUUCAAAGAUGUACAAACCUGUAGAACAAAUAGACAGACUUUGGUUUGGAUAAUUCCAUUUUCUAGAAGCAGUCUAGUGAAU